ensembl:lncRNA
UUUACCAUGGCGGAGGCAGAUCGAUACCUGUGGACCAAGUCUCUCUCCAACCUACCUAAAUUGUCCUACGACGACGUCCUAAGGAUCGUAAAUCAGCACUCACGUGUCGAAACAUCUAAACUACGCAAAGGAUAUAAGUUCUUCUGGGAGAAGUACAUUUUUAAUUAUAGAAACACAUGACUACCACUUCACAGGGGAGCAAAGCGUGCCAACACCUCUGUCGUGCACCAGUGUUCUGCAGUCGUGGACCAAGGACACAGGGGAUUCGCUCCAGGGGAUUCGCCCGGAACCCACUGACCAAUUUGUGGUCAGGAAACCCAAGGUUUGGGUUAGGUGUUUUAUUUUAACACAUACAUGGACACAUACCUCCUGAAUGCCAAGUAAAUAUGGCCGAGGGACACACACACCCCAUUUCAUUUAUUUAUUUCUGUUAAAUGUAUAUAUGUAAAUAUUUUAAUCAAACAAUUGGAAACAAACAUUCCUGAACAUUUGUUUAAGGUAACACACUCUGAGCACCUUUAAAGCAAGCCUGAAGACUUUUAUGUUUGCAUUAGCUUUCUGCUACAUCUUAAAUACAUUGCACUUUCUAAAAAGCUUUUUUAGAA